UACGUAGGGUGCAAGCGUUAAUCGGAAUUACUGGGCGUAAAGCGUGCGCAGGCGGUUUUGUAAGUCUGUCGUGAAAGCCCCGGGCCCAACCUGGGAAUUGCGAUGGAGACUGCAAGGCUUGAAUCUGGCAGAGGGGGGUAGAAUUCCACGUGUAGCAGGUGAAAUGCGUAGAGAUGUGGAGGAACACCGAUGGCGAAAGCGGCUCUCUGGAACGGUACUGACGCUGAGACGCGAAAGCGUGGGGAGCGAACAGGG
rnacentral:rRNA from 1 species